rnacentral:rRNA from 1 species
AUUGAACGCUGGCGGCAUGCCUUACACAUGCAAGUCGAACGGCAGCGCGGGGCAACCUGGCGGCGAGUGGCGAACGGGUGAGUAAUAUAUCGGAACAUACCCUAGAGUGGGGGAUAACGUAGCGAAAGUUACGCUAAUACCGCAUACGCACUAAGGUGGAAAGUGGGGGAUUCGCAAGAACCUCAUGCUCAUGGAGUGGCCGAUAUCUGAUUAGCUAGUUGGUGAGGUAAAGGCUCACCAAGGCAACGAUCAGUAGCUGGUUUGAGAGAACGACCAGCCACACUGGAACUGAGACACGGUCCAGACUCCUACGGAGGCAGCAGUGGGGAAUUUUGGACAAUGGGGGCAACCCUGAUCCAGCAAUGCCGCGUGAGUGAAGAAGGCCUCGGUUGGUU